rnacentral:rRNA from 1 species
GAUGAACGCUGGCGGCGUGCCUAAUACAUGCAAGUCGAGCGAACAGACGAGGAGCUUGCUCCUCUGACGUUAGCGGCGGACGGGUGAGUAACACGUGGAUAACCUACCUAUCAGACUGGGAUAACUUCGGGACACCGGAGCUAAUACCGGAUAAUAUAUUGAACCGCAUGGUUCAAUAGUGAAAGACGGUUUUGCUGUCACUUAUAGAUGGAUCCGCGCCGCAUUAGCUAGUUGGUAAGGUAACGGCUUACCAAGGCAACGAUGCGUAGCCGACCGGAGAGGGUGGUCGGCCACACUAGAACUGGGACACGGUCCAGACUCCUACGGGAGGCAGCAGUAGGGAAUCUUCCGCAAUGGGCGAAAGCCUGACGGAGCAACGCCGCGUGAGUUAUGAAGGUCUUCGGAUCGUAAAACUCUGUUAUUAGUGAAGAACAAAUGUGUAAGUAACUAUGCACUGCUUGACGGUACCUAAUCAGAAAGCCACGGCUAACUACGUG